UACGUAGGGGGCAAGCGUUGUCCGGAAUUAUUGGGCGUAAAGCGCGUGUAGGCGGCUCGGUAAGUCUGCUGUGAAAGUCCAAGGCUCAACCUUUGAAAGCCGAUGGAUACUGCAGGGCUAGAGUCCGGAAGAGGCGAGUGGAAUUCCUGGUGUAGCGGUGGAAUGCGCAGAUAUCAGGAGGAACACCAAUAGCGAAGGCAGCUCGCUGGGACGGUACUGACGCUAAGGCGCGAAAGCGUGGGGAGCGAACAGG
rnacentral:rRNA from 1 species